AAACUCCGGGACCCUGCAAGGGAUGACUCACCCCAGUGAUUCAACCGCGCCACCGAGCGCGGAGCUGCCCUGGAGGACGCAGGCGGGUCUAGUUGCCCGGGUCCCCCAAGGCCCCCGGAUUCACCCAGGCCCGCGACUCCGACGUGCAGCUUAGCCUAGUUAACAGAUGCUCCAAAUUUUGAGCCUGUAACCCUUCCAAUCCCUUGCUGCCUUUGAUGGUGAUGCUCCAUCCUAUUAUACCAACUCCACAUUGAAGCAGAACUCUCAAGACAGAGAUGGGGAGGGAUGGAUGGGCUGUGAGGCCCCCCAGCCAAGAAGCUGGAAGAACUUUCUCGAAUCCUGCAGAGCUGCUCAGGGGCCUGCCUUGUAUCUGCCUGGCUGUUCCAGGGAGGUUGGAAGACAAACUGAAGGCUUUCCAUUGCUGAACAUCAGACCUCAGAAGUACUGACUGGAGGGCUCCCAAGCUGGCUCAGAUCAGCCUCAUAUUGCCCCGAACAGUAUCAUCACCGCUUUGCCCUGGUGGGGAAACUACUCUUUACCCUCUGUAUGAACCUAUGAAGCACGCAGGUCACUGGGGCAAUUUCUGAGUUUGAAGUUGCUUGGAUUUGCCAUUGCUGCUAUGUUGAAGGGAAGGGAGUGCUUUUGAAGAAAAUGUUCAUCUCUAGUUCCAGUAACAGGCAUGGAAUUGACACAUAACAGGUGUUUGUUGAAUUGAGCUGAAUAAAUUAGAAUCUGGGGCAAAAUAUAGUUGUUCUUUAUAGUCCUAAGUCUAUUAAUAAAGCAGAUAUAUCCUUAUUA
rnacentral:lncRNA from 1 species